rnacentral:rRNA from 1 species
GCACGGGUGAGUAACGCGUAUCCAACCUGCCUCUGACUAGGGGAUAACCCGGCGAAAGUCGGACUAAUACCUUAUGGCAUCGUCUGCGGGCAUCCAACGACGAUUAAAGAUUCAUCGGUCAGGGAUGGGGAUGCGUCUGAUUAGCUUGUUGGCGGGGUAACGGCCCACCAAGGCGACGAUCAGUAGGGGUUCUGAGAGGAAGGUCCCCCACAUUGGAACUGAGACACGGUCCAAACUCC